UACGUAGGGUGCAAGCGUUAAUCGUAAUUACUGGGCGUAAAGCGUGCGCAGGCGGUUAUGCAAGACAGAUGUGAAAUCCCCGGGCUUAACCUGGGAACUGCAUUUGUGACUGCAUGGCUGGAGUGCGGCAGAGGGGGAUGGAAUUCCUGGUGUAGCAGUGAAAUGCGUAGAUAUCAGGAGGAAUACCGAUGGCGAAGGCAGGUCUCUGGGCUGACACUGACGCUCAUGCACGAAAGCGUGGGGAGCAAACAGG
rnacentral:rRNA from 1 species